rnacentral:tRNA from 1 species
GCUAGGUUACGGAAGUAGUCAAACCGGGCUGACUGUAAAUCAGCUGGCUUUAUGCCUUCGGAGGUGCAAAUCCUUCACCUAGCACCA